GACGAACGCUGGCGGCGUGCUUAACACAUGCAAGUCGAACGAGUGGCGAACGGGUGAGUAAUACGUGAGUAACCUGCCCUCUUUUUGGGAUAAGCCUUGGAAACGGGGUCUAAUACCGGAUAAAGGGGGAUGGGCUCGGGGCCUGUCAGCUUGUUGGGGGGGUGAUGGCCUACCAAGGCGGUGACGGGUAGCCGGCCUGAGAGGGUGACCGGCCACAGUGAGACUGAGAAACGGCCCAGACGAGGAAGGGGGGGAGCAGUGUGGGAUAUUGCCGAAAGGGUGAAAGCCUCAUGCAGCGACGCCGCGUGGGGGAUGAGGGCUUUCGGGUUGUAAACCUCUUUCGCUAUCGAAGGGGUAGGUGGAGAAGAAGCGCCGGCUAACUACGUGCCAGCCGCCGCGGUAAUUC
rnacentral:rRNA from 1 species